rnacentral:rRNA from 1 species
CACCAGCGCCACGAGUGGCAACCGCGUAUUUGGCCUAAAGCGUCCGUAGCUGGUUUGGUAAAUUCUUUGUGAAAUCGUUGCUGUUAACGUAACGGCAUGCAAGGGAGACUGCCAAGCUUGAGACCGGGAGGAGUAAGAAGUAUUUUGGGGGGAGCGGUAAAAUGUUAUAAUCCCCGAAAGACUACCGGUGGCGAAGGCGUCUUACUAGAACGGGUCUGACAGUGAGGGACGAAAGCCAGGGGAGCGAACCGGAUUAGAUACCCGAGUAGUCCUGGCCGUAAACGCUGCGAGUUGGGUGUUGCAUAUUCCACGUGAAUGUGCAGUGUCGAAACGAAGGUGAUAAACUCGCCGCCUGGGAAGUACGGUCGCAAGACUGAAACUUAAAGGAAUUGGCGGGGAGACGCUACAAGGGGUGCGGCGUGCGGUUUAAUCUAACUCAACGCAGAGAACCUCACUAGCGGCGACGGCAGGAUGAAGGUCAGUCUGAAGGGCUUACUUGACAAGCCGAGAGGUAGUGCAUGGCCGCCGUCAGCUCGUGCCGUAAGGUGUCCAGUUAAGUCUGGCAACGAGCGAGACCUGUAUCUGCAAUUGCUAACAUCUGAUCCUCAGGAUUGAGUACAUUGCAGGGACUGCCCUGGAAACAGGGAGGAAGGUGCAGGCAACGGUAGGUCUGUAUGCUCCGAAUCCGCUAGGCUACACGCGCGCAACAAUGGUAACGACAAUGGGCUACAACUCCGAAAGGAGAAGUUAAUCCUCGAAACGUUAUCCAAGUCCAGAUUGAGGAUUGCAACUCAUCCUCAUGACGACGGAAUCCCUAGUAAUCAGAGUUCAUCAUACUCUGGUGAAUACGUCCCUGUCUCU